AAUGAACGUUGGCGGCGCGCCUAACACAUGCAAGUCGAACGAGAAAGUUCCUUCGGGAGCGAGUACAGUGGCGAACGGUUGAGUAACACGUGAGAAUCUACCCUUUAGUGGAGAAUACUC
rnacentral:rRNA from 1 species